GAUGAACGCUGGCGGCGUGCCUAAUACAUGCAAGUCGAGCGCAGCGGGGACGGGUGAGUAACACGUGGAUAACCUCCUAUAAGACGGGGAUAACUUCGGGAAACCGGAGCUAAACCGGAUAAUUAUAGAUGGCUCCGCUCUGAAUUGGCUAGUUGGUAAGGUAACGGCUUACCAGGGCAACGAUGCAUAGCCGACCUGAGAGGGGGAUCGGCCACACGGGAACGGAGACACGGUCCAGACUCCUACGGGAGGCAGCAGUAGGGAAUUGUCCGCAAUGGGCGAAAGCCUGACGGAGCAACGCCGCGUGAGGGAGGAAGGUCUUCGGAUCGUAAAACUCUGUUAUUAGGGAAGCGGUACCUAAUCAGAAAGCCACGGCUAACUACGUGCCAGCAGCCGCGGUAAUUC
rnacentral:rRNA from 1 species